AGACAGACAGGUCUGGAGAGGCUGGUAAGUAAGAACUCCCCGAGUGCCUCCGCCAAGAACCGAUUUGAAGAGGUUGCCAUUCACUCUGUCAGGCUGCGUGUGGGAUUCAUCAGGACCCAGCCUCGCUUUCUUUCACCCCGCAUCAAUGUGCCCUAAAGGAUUUUUCUUUAAACCUGAUUGCUUGGAAGGCAUUGUAAGUCCACUGCUUUGUGAUUCAUCAAUCCAUGACAGCUCAUUAUUCCAGAAGCAUUUAGGCCCCAAACCAGGAGAGAGGGAAAGGUUUCUUGGUGCCAUAACGGGACAAAGGUUCACUGGCUUAUUGAUUCAUGUCACAAAUAUUUACUCAGCCUGCUAUUUAACUAUGGAGAUGAACUAGGAGGUGGAUAUUUGCUGGUGGGCCUCACUGUAAAGAAAUCCCACUCAACAAAGUAGAGUCCAGAAAUUCUGACUUAAGUACUAUUAAUAUUGAACUUCUGAGAAAAGCAUUUUACAUACAUCACCUGACUGACUCUAUGAUGUCUCUGUAUGUAAUACAGUAUCUUUAUUUUACACAUGAGAAAACGGAGGCUCACAGGGGCUCAGUGGCUUAUUCAAGUUCCAUAGCUAGAAGGCAGCAGAAAUGGGAUUCAACCUGUCUGACUCCAAAUCCCAUGCACGUAACCAUUUUUUACUGCAUUACUUGUUCCCACAUUUUUUUUUAGUUGUUGAUAGGUUAAAAGGAAAACAAAGCUGUUUAUGGAAGCAUUUGAAAAAUAUAAUGCUCUCAGUUGUAAGAGAAUACUGUAGUAUUGAGUUAUCUGGAAUUGCAUGGGAUGUAACAUUCAAUGGACAAUGGAGCAUUUGGUGGCCUGACCUCUCUUCCAAGUUCAGGAGGCCUCUCAAGUUUCAGUCAUCAAGGCUCCCCUGGAGCACUGGGAUUCUGAACUAUUUCCUUAUGUACUUCUCCUGGGCUGAGGCUCCUGAGUGUGGCUGAACCUGGUGGCACUCUUCUGCCACAUAGAGAUGAGGUCAGCCUGGACACUGCCCUGGGGUUUUAAUCUAAAUAACCACUGGAUUAGGCUGCAUUCAAGCUGGCAAAAAUGUUUAUUUCUUAUAUCUACUUGAAGUAAGCUUCCUUUCCAACAGCCCCCACUAAAAGAGAAGGGAUAGAGGGCUUGUCUGUGUUCAGAGAAAUCUCUCUUGUAUUCAUUAGCUGUCGGUAAUAGAGGCUGAGUUUUUCAGAUCCAAAAGACAUGGAGAUAGGAUAUUAAGAGACAAUAUGGAGUAGCAGAAAAUGUAUUGAGCUGGGAGUCUUACUCUAGGUCAGAGUCCCUUGUAUUCAAUACUUCACUCACUGUGUCACUUUGGGCAAGUUGCUUAACUUCUCUGUUUUCAUUUUUACAUCUAUAAAAUGGAGAUGAUAAUACUUCUUUAUCUUACAGAGUUAUUGUGCAGGUCAUAUAUAAUAAUAAUUUUAUUCAUUCAUUCAUUCAUUCAGUGACUGCUAGAAACUUGAUAUAAUGAUGAAUAAGACAGUCAUAGUCUAUGCUCAUGAAGCUUACAGUCUAGUGGGAGAGAUAGAUAUAAAUCAAUCUUGAUGGAGAAGUAGUUGUUCAAACAAAAGUUAUGAAAAAGUAUUAUAAGAAAGGAAUAUAGGGUGCUGUGAGGGCCUAUGGCUGAAAGUGUCAUUGAAAAUGAAACUAGAGGGAUGAGUCAUAGGUGGUGGAAUUAAAGGGGAGAGGAAGGGCAUUUUGCUUAAGUAAAGCAGCAUGCAUGCAGUUGCAAUGGAGUUUUGCACAAACCAAGAACGGAGAGAAAGUCAAUGUGUAACAUGACCAUAUGGUCCUGUUUUCUGUGGAUAGUCCCUUUGUAAACCCAGUGUAUUCAUUAUAGAGCUUUUUUGCAUUCCCUAAAGCAUCUCUACUGGAUGGAGAAAUAAUAGUCAUCUCAUUAAUGUGGCUGGUGUGUAGUGAGCAAAGUGGGAUGUUAGGCUAAACAGGUUCACUUAGAUAGAUCCAAGCUUUGUAGAUCAUAUUAAGGAGUUUGGUCUUUACUUCAAGAGCAGUAGGCACAAACUGGAGCUUAAAAAUUAGAUCAGAAUACUAGUUAACAUUUAUUUAGUAUUGCUACAUGCCUGUAUUAUGCAAUCUGCUUUAGAAGACAGAGGUGCCAUUGCAAUCUCCACUUUAUAUACAAGGAAACUGAGCCUUGUACAGAUCAAGGGACUUGCCCAGGGCCACAUGAUGAUUAGUGGCGGAGUGCUGAUUUAAAGCCAGAUGUCAUUCCCAAGACUAGGUAUUUAAUCUCUCUGACACUGACUCCCAGUGUGGAAGCCUUUAGCUAUAAAUGCAUUCUGUUCAAAAGCUACUUCUUUUCUGAGCACUUAGCCAACUUUCAUAUAGGCAUGUUGAAGUAAAGUGAAGCCUUCACAGCAACAUCUCCCUACUCUAUGAAACAGUAGAACUGAGUGCUAGAACGGACGUCAAAAUAGCAGCAAUGAAACCCACUGUGGCAUCAGUAUUUAGGAUUCAGGCCCUGGUCCUGCCAGCUGUGACCUGAGUAAAGCCACUUGACUUCUCAGAGUCCAUUUGACAACUCUCUAACAGGACAAACCUAGUCCUUUACCAGGAAGAACACACCAAAUGUGAAAGGGCCCUGCAAACUGGAAAAUGCAAUGGUGAUAACAACAACCAAACCCAAGAAAAACCUUUGUUAGGAGCUUUCUUCUUACCAAAGGACUGUGUUAAGUGAUUUAUGGAAAUUUUUUUCCAUUUACCCUUCAAAAUUACCCCACAAAAUAGGCACUAUUAUCAUCACCAUUUAACACAUGUGUAAUCUGAGGCCCAGAGAAUUAAGUAACUUUUUAUUUAUUUAUUUAUUUAUUUAUUUAUUUAUUUAUUGGAGAGGUGGGGGUCUUGCUAUGUUGUUCAGUCUGGUCUUGAACUCCUGGCCUCAAGUAGUCUUCCCACCACAGUACCCCAAAACAUUGGGAUUAUAAGCAUGAGCCACUGCGCCUGAAAAUAAUUAAGUGACUUGUCAAAGGUUACAGGGUUGGUACUAAGAGCCACCAAGCUAGGGUUCUUUGCCAUUAUAUAAGUUAUGAAACAGUUUUAUGAAAAGUACUAUAAGAAAGGAAUAUAGGGUGAUGUGAGGGCCUGUGCCUGAAAGUGUCAUUGAAAGUGAAAUGGGAUGAGUCAUAGGUGGUGGAAUUAAAGGGGAGAGGAAGGAUGUCUUGCUUAAGUAAAGCAGCAUGCAUGAAGUUGCAAAGGAGUUUUGCACAAACCAAGAAUGGAGAGAAGGUCUGUGAAGGUGGUCAUAUGAACAGGAUAUAGGCUGUUUUCUGGGGAUAGUCCCAUUUAAACCCAGAGUCCUUAUUAAUAGGGCUAUUUUGCACUCCCUAAAGCAUCUCUACUGGAUGGAAAAAUAAUACAGUCAUCUCAUUAAUGUGGCUGGUGUGUAGUGAGCAAAGUAGAAUGUUAGGCUACAAGCUCUGUCCAAAGAGGACAGCAUACCACAGAUGGCUCUGAACCAUUUAUCCCGAGAGCUUAAGAGCCCCAAGGAUGAGGAUGUUCAAGAAGAGAAGUGGAAGGCAGAGAGGCACUGGCUUAUGGGAGUCUGUCCAGGAAGAGAAAGUGACCUCAGGUUAAGGCUCACUCACAGGGUGUUGAGGGAGUCCUGAGAUGGCCAGGAAGGGCCAGAGAGGAAUUGAUGAUGAGAAGUAAAUUUGUUAGGACACAAAUGAUGGGUUUUGUUUGGAAGAUAGAUCUCUUUUUUGCUCUGAAUAGCAUAGUAAAUGAGAAUAUGACUACCAUUUUGGUGAGUUCUCAAGUGGAUUUUAUUGAGGAUGGUACAACAUUGCUAUGUGUUUUCUCUCAUCAAUCAAUCAACAAAUGCUGCACAAACCAAGACUCAACUAAUGUGAUAAGUGCCAUAUUUUGAGAAUUUAUUGCCUAUCAACUAUCAUUCCAUAUUUUUUAUACAUAUUACUCCAUUAAACCUUUAAAUCAGGCCCUGUUUUACAAAUGAAGAAACAGCACAGGAAGUGAAAUUCUAAGCCAAAGUUCCCAUAGCUGGUGAAUGGGUUUGAACCAAAGUUGUUCCACUUCAGAGUUUGCAUUCUCAAUCACUGGACAAGGUCACCUUCACCGACAUAUACCAAGUAGAGUGGUCUCAACUCAUAUUUAUAAAGUGCCUGCUCUGUCCUGGGCCCUAUGAGUUGCUUUUAUAUAACUUUAUUUAAUUUGGCUUUGCCAUAUAACCCUGGACAUGGCACUUAACACUUUUGGUCUAUUUCCUCAUCUGUAAAACGAGGAUAGUAAUAGUACUUACCACAGAGGACUGAUAAGAGAAUUAAGUGAGAUAAGUAAUGCAAAGCACUUAGUAGAGAGCCUGGCAAGCAGAAAGCACUGGAAAAGUGUUUGCCAAAUCAAUAUUCUGGACAACUGCCUUGUUCUAUAGUUGCUUUAUCUAUUAUUCUAAUUUUAGCCUGGAGCUGAGAGCCAUAAAGAAGGCAGAAGACACUAUUUGCUUGCCUCUGGAUGACGCAGAAGAGCGACUCUUAGCAUCAUAGCUACUAUUGCUUCUUCUUCCUGAUCCCCUGCUGCCUCCUCUUCCUUCUUCUUCAUGUACAAUAAACUGCACAUAUUGAAAGCAUACAAUAUGAUACGUGUAUAUACACACCUAUGAAACUAUCAAAAAUAAUUAAAAUAGGGAGCAUAUCCAUCACUCCCAUAUGCUUCCCUGUACCCCUUGAUGGUCCUCUCCUGUCCUUCUCUACUUGCUUCCUCCAACCUCAUUCCCAUCCCCAUCCACAUCCCCGUUUUCAUCUCCAUUCCCAUCCCCAUCUACAUUUCCACCCCAUCCCCAUUUGCAUCUCCAUUUGCAUCCCCACUCCCAUUCCCAUCCCCACUCCCAUUCACAUCUCCAUCCCCAUCCCCUUCCCCAGCCUGUCCUCAUUUUCACCCCCAUCCCUGUCCCCAAAUCCAUCUCCAUCCUCAUCCCCAUCCCCAUCCCCAUCUCCAUCUUCAGGCAACCAUGGAUCUGCCUUCUGUUACUGUAGAUUAUUUUGUAUUUCUAGCAUUUUACAUAAACAAAAUCAAACAGUAAAUAUUCUUUUUAAAUUUUGCUCUUUUUAAUCAGCAUAAUUAUUUUGAGGUUUACCAUGUUAUUCUAUGUAUGAAUAGUUCCUUCUUUUUAUUGGAAUACUAUUUCAUUAUAUGGAUAUACCAUAUUCACGGAUCCAUUUACCUGCUGAUGAACAUUUUAGUUGUGUCUAACUUUUAGGCAUUACAAAUAAAGCUGUUAGGAACAAUAGUGUUUGUAUGGACAUACGCUUUCAGUUCUCUUAGUUAAAUCCCUAGGAGUAGAAUGGCUGGGCCACAUGACAGAGGUGUGUUUAACUUUACAAAGAUGUCAAACUGUUUUCCAAACUGAUAGUAACAUUUUAUGCUUCUCCCAACAAUGUAUGAGAGCUCUACUUGCUCCAUAUUUUCUCUGGCACUUGGUAUGUUAGUCUUUAAACAUUUAGAUAUUCUAGUAGGUGAUUAGCAUAUCUUACUGUGCUUUCAUUUGCAUUUUCCUAAUGACUAACGAUGUUGAGCAUCUUUGCAUGUGCUUAUUUGCCAUUCGUAUAUCUUGUUUUUGGUAGAGUGUUCAAAUAUAAUUUUAUUUUUUAUUUUUUGAGACAGGGUCUUUCUCUGUCACCCAGGCUAGAGUGCAAUGGUGUGGUCAUGGCUCACUGCAGCCUCGACGUGGGAUCAAGCCAUCCUCCCAGUUUCACCUCCCAAGUAGCUGGGACUACAGGCACAUGCCACCACGCCGGCUAAUUUGUGUAUUUUUUGUAGAGGCAAGGUUUUGCCAUGUUGCCCGGGCUGGUUCGAAUCUUGGGCUGACCCACUUCGGCCUUCCAAAGUGCUGAGAUUACAGGUGUGAGCCACCACACCUGGCCUGGUUUGAUUUUUUUCAUUACUGAGUUUUGAGAAUUCUUUAUAAAUUAUGAAAAUAUUUUCUCCUAGUCUGUGGUUUAUUUUUCCAUUCUCUAAAUGGUCUUCUCACAUAACUUAGUGAUGAUUCAUUCUUUUUUUUUUUUGAGUUUUUUCUUCUCUCUAUGUUUUGUUUUGGAUAAUCUGCAUAUUCACUGUCUUUUUCAGGGUUGGAUUUGCCAUUAAACCACACAGUUCGUUUUUCAGCUCAGAUGUUAUAGUUCAAUUUGGGUCUUUUUACAUCUUUCAUGUCUCUACUUAACGUGUUUGACCUUUCCUCUGGCUUCUUGAGCAUACAGAAUACCCUUUCAAUAGCUGUUUUAAUGCCCUCGUCUGUUUAUUCUGUCAUCUGGGUUACUGUCAUUUGAUUGAUUUUUUUUCUCAUAAUAGAUUGAGGUCCCUUCCUCCUGUCUCAGGUAGUUUUCUUUACAUGCACAUGCUGCUUGUAAAGAAAAAUUAAAUUGUAGAGAAUUUCAUCACAAAAAAAGCUGUUAUUUGUUUAUGUUCUUCCUUGUUGGCAACAUUUUAUAUAGGUUAUUCUCAUGGCCUAAGAUGCAGUAUCAACUGAAUACUUAAGGGGAACUGAGAGCACAUCUCAGGAGUUCCCUCUCUCAUUGGCCUUUCUUUCUAGAAUACUACCCCUCGAACCCUAGUCGCCUUGGUCUGCCUAGACUAUCAGUUUUGUCUCCUCAAAUCAGGGUGUCCGCUAGCCUCCAUCUGGGUGCCGCAUCCUAUGCUGUGGCCUAGAAAUUCACUCAAGGCUGUAAACUGGGGCAAUCAUAAGACGUACCUUCUUUUCCUGUUGAUAUAGUUUGGAUGUUUACCCUACCCAAAUCUCAUAUUGAAACGUAAUCCCCAGUGUUGGAGGUGAGGCCUGGUGGGACUGAUUGGAUCUUGGGGGUAGAUUUUUCAUGGAUGGUUUAGCACCGUCCCCUUGAUGCUGUCCUCAUGAUAGUGAGUGAGUUCUCAUGAGGUCUGGUCACUUAGAAGUGUGUGGCACCUUCCCCUCCACUCUCUCUCUCGCUCCUCCUCCUGCCAGGUAGUGGGGCUGCUCCCCCUUUGGUUUCCACUGUGACUGGAAGCUUCCCAAGGCCUCCUCAGAAGCAGAUGCUGCUAUGCUUCCUGUACAGUCUGCAGAAUCAUGAACCAAUUUAACCUCUUUUCAUAUAAAUUACCUAGUCUCAGGUAUUUCUUUAUAUCAGUGCAAGAACAGCCUAAUAUAGCUGUCUUGCAGGAAUCAUUGACUUACGUUGCCGAAGUGUCCAAUGUCUUGAGAACCAUUGUUUUUGUUGUUGUUGUUGUUGUUGUUUGAUUUCUCAGUUGUUUCAGGUAGGAGAAUAAAGCUGGUCCCUCUUACUCCAUUUUGGCCAGAAGUAGAUAUCCCCAUAGUUUCUUUAGGACUCUUUUAGUCCUUUGUCAAACCUCUUAUUUUUACAGAUUAGGAAACUGAGGAACUAUACAUCUAUUAUCUACAGUAGAUAAUUUGGGAUUUAAGGGGCAAAACAUGCAAUAUUUGGUGCUGAGAUUGGGGGGUGAAUGUCACUAAGGCUGAAGGGGUAGGAAGAAGACAGAGAGUGAAGAAUGUUGAAUGCCAUGUAAGUAGAAGGGAUUUUAUUUUGUGGUUGUUGAAGGAGGAACUGAGGAAACAUUUAAGUCUAGAAACAGCAGAAUAAGGCUUAAUGGCCUAAUUAAUAUUAACACAUCCUUUUUUAAAUGCGGUUGAACUGUAGUUACCUCUGAUACUAGAAGGGAAUUGAUAGAGUGAGGAGCUGUGUUUGCUGAGCUCUGGACCAUAAUCUGAUCCUAUCUGUGUGACUCUGAGCAUAUCAUUUUAUCACUCUUAGGCCUCAGUUUCCAUGUCUGUGAAAAAUUAAUUGAUAAAACUGAGGGUCAAUGAGGUUGUUUUGAAUGUGGUAACAGAACAAGUAAGGAGCAGCACCGAGGCUCCAAAUCAGCUCUCAGAUAGUUUUCCAUGCCUAUGAUCCUUGAAAGCAGGAUUUCAUCCAAGAGAGGUAGUAAUGACUGGUUGAGGCAAAUAGCCACAGGGCCAUAAAGAUAUACAUAGUGGUGGUGAAGAAGUCUCCUCUGCCCACCAGCAUUCCUUGACCCAGCCGUUAUAUCCCAACCUGACAUGAUUUUCUGACAAUGAAUGUUGAAAGCUGUUGAAUGUCAGACACAAAGAGUUACACUUAACCAGCUGUCUGCAAAUAAAGAAUCAGAGGUCGAUUGUGGUGUGCGAAGGUUUAUGGUCAUAUGUUUUAACAUAAUGUUUUGGGAAAAAUUAAAUUGUAAAGAACUUCAAUACACACACACAAAAGCUUUUAUUUGUUUAUGUUCUCCCAUGUUGGCAAGAUUUUGUAUAGGCCAUUCUCAUGGCCUAAGAUGCAUAUCCAGUAUCCACAGUAUUCCUUAUAUGUCUGAUUGGAGAACACACACUCUUCCUUCAAUUCUCAGAUCAGUUACUAUUAAACUUUUCCUGACUUCCCCAGGCAGAUUAUAUAUUUUUUUCCUUUCUUGAUUCCUCUGCAUUUUGCAAAUAUUGUCAUUUUCAUAAUUGACUAUUUUUUUUUCAUUCUGUUUGUCUGUGUCACCCACCAGACUGUGAACUCUAUAAUGAUAGCUAUUCCUCAUUUGUUCACUGUAGUAUCCCUAGAACCUAGGACAAUUCCUAGAACUGUUAAUGCUCAAUAAAUAUUUUUAGGUAAAUGAAUGAAUGAAUGGACAUUAGGAAUAGAAGGUGAAGUGAUAUAAGUAAGAGCCCUGCACACGGGCGUUCCCCCUUUCUCAUUUGCCUCCCUUGUGCCAGCCUGAGCUUUCAUGGGGUAUAUAUGAUGUCUUGCUUAUUUCUACAUAUUUACCCUGAUAGGUUGUUGCAGAACAUGGCAAGGGCUCAUCAGAUGCUGAAUGAACAAACACACUGGACUGCAGCCUUAGUUGCUUUAUCUGUUGCAUGAAAUGGUUGAAUUAGAUUUCAGUCACUCAACCAGUAUCUCCUGAACCUCUACCAUGUGUCAAGCACUGAGCCAGGCCGGGGACAGAGGCUCACACCUGUAAUCCCAGCACUUUGGAAGGCUGAGGUGGGCGGAUCACCUGAGGUCAGGAGUUCGAGACCAGCCUGGCCAACAGGGUGAAACCCCGUCUCUAUUAAAAAUAAAACAUUAGCCGGGCAUGGUGGUAUGCAUCUGUACUUCCAGCUACUCAGAACGCUGAGGCAGGAGAAUCACUUGAACCCAGAAGGCGGAGAUUACAGUCAGCCGAGAUCGUGCCAUUGCACUCCAGCCUGGGCAAAAAAGAACGAAACUCUGUCUCAAAACAAAACAAACAAAAAACACCGAGCCUGCAUCAAUCAUGGACAGUGGCAUCAAGACUACAGACUAGUAGAAUUGAAACAGGGACUAUAAAGCAAGGUAAAAAAUGAGGGGUCGCAUGUUGAGAUGAAGCUGAGACUGACAAGGAGUGAAUGAGACUUAAACCCAGGCCUUUCCUCUAGAAUGGGCAGGUUCUUGGUAGAUGGUACAGCUGCAAUUAUGGAAAAAAAAAAGGUUCGAAUAUCAACUCCUCUACACCACGCAGCCAGAAGUAACCUUUUUUCAUUCAAAAUGCUAUAGGCCUCUCUCCGAAUCCCUUUUAGAAUACCAAUUCCUUUCUUGGAGGUUGUGAUGUUUUAUGUGUCAACUUGACCAGACCGGAUAUUUGAACAGACAUUAUUCUGGGGGUGUCUGUGAGGGUGUUUCUGGAUGAAAUUAACUUUAGAAUUGGUAGCCUGAGUAAAGUAGAUGGCCCUCCCUAAAGCGGACAGAAUGCAUCCAAUCAAUUGAAGACCUGAACAGAACAGAAAGGCUGAAUGAGGGAAUGCCUCCUGCCUGGCACUUGAGCUGAGACACUGAUCUUUUCCUGCCUUCAGGCUCCAGCUGAAAAGCUGGCUCUUCAGCUCUUGAGUCGUGAGUUGGCUUUCAGACUGGAACUUACGCCAUUCACUCUCCUAGUUCUCAGGCCCUCAGACUCAGACUAGAACCACACUAUUGAAUUUCCUGGGAAUCCAGCUCACUGACUUCAGAUCUUGGGGCUUCUUGGCUUUCAAAUCAUGUGAGCCAAUUUCUUAUAAGUCUCUUUACACACUCAUACACACUGUCUGUCUGUUUAUCUAUUAUCUAUCUAUCCAUCCAUCUAUCUCCUGUUGGUUUUGUUUCUCUGGAGAACCCAGACUAAUAUAGGUGGUAAAAAAUAAAACAAACAAACAAAAAAAAAAAACUUACCCUUUUUUUUUUUUUUUUUUUGAGACAGAGUCUAGCUCUGUCACCCAGGCUGGAGGGCAGUGGCAUGAUCUCGGCUCACUGCAAACUCCGCCUCCCGGGUUCAUGCCAUUCUCCUGCCUCAGCCUCCCAGGUAGCUGGGACUACAGGCACCCGCCACCACGCCCGGCUAAUUUUUUGUAUUUUUAGUACAGACAGGAUUUCACUGUGUUAGCCAGGAUGGUCUCGAUCUCCUGACCUCGUGAUCCACCUGCCUCGGCCUCCCAAAGUGCUGGGAUUACAGGCGUGAGCCACCGCACCCAGCAACCUACCCUUUCUUGAGCUAAAACAUGACAGGUACUGGGCUAAGUGAUUUAUAGCCAUAACCUUAUUUAGUCCACAUAACACUCCUCUGAGGGUGGAUGUAAUUUCUAGCUUAUAGAUGGAAACUUUGAGGCUCAGAGGAGAGACGCACCAUAUCCAAGGUCACACAACAAGCAAAUGACUAUUCAGGUUAAAACCCUGUUUCCUCUAGUUCAAUACUCCAUGCUAUUUCUCCUCUACUCAACCACAUCCUUCUGUGCAUGUUUUGUUUCUCGAUUAGGCAGUAAGUUAUCUAUGGGCAAAAAUUAAGUAUAAUUAUUAUUAUUUUUUUCUAUUUGUUCACUUUUAAUUCUUGUGCCGAUCAUGGUAUUUGGCACAUGAAGGUGAGGAGGGGGCGGUGGCCGCAGGAAUUAUUGUAUGAUCUACUUGGGUCAUGGGACUUCUCUGCAGGGAAAGACUUUAGAAACCACCUAACCCUUUCCACCCCUCCCUUUGUUCUUGUUUCUAGACUGAUUCCUUUCUUCUCCAUGCUGUUAGUAAUUAAUACAUGGCACGUAUUCCCCAAGGAAUUGCAGGACAUCCUGAAGUUUGCACCAAAAGUUUGGGGAGCAUACCUCCUCAGGGCACACUUCCACAAGCCCCUUUUGGCACCUUGGUUUUCCUGCCACCUGGGCCUGGAGCCAGAUAUGCAGUUGGGCUGGAGCAGGGAGUAGAGAGUGUGAGCUAAAGAGCACACAGAGACCCUGACAGGCUCCUGGGGCCCCCAGUGGUUGAACUCUGGUUAUAAAUAGAAGGAAUAUGAAGCAGAAUGUCUUUUUAAUAUGCACAUGGAAUUCAUUUAUUUAAUGAAGAAUUUUCCUGGAACAGAGAGCUUGCCGUCAGAGCUGAGCUAUUUUUGAGUAGGAUGUGAAGGAAAAACUCUGGAGAAUUAUUUGCUGUUUGGAUUUAUGCUUUUAAAAUGGGUUGUAAUAAAAAAGCAAAACUAUAGGAACAGAGUUAAGAUCAGUGUUUGCCAAGGGUUGGAGGUAGGUGCAAGGGAUUGACUGGAAAGAGGUGUGAAGUGACUUUCUGGGGUGAUGGCAGCAUUCUGUAUCUACUGUGGUAGUGGUUACAUGGCUGCAUAUGUUUGUCAAAACGUGUAGAACAGUUCACCUAAAAUGUAUGAAUCUUACUACUAUAUGUAAAUUAUGCCUGACUUACAAACAGUGUGUCACCAUGUUCUUUCUGAGGGAGAAAAAGGAGUGGGGAAUGAAUGCUUUCAAACAUCUCCUUUGGGUGGGGUUCUUUGUAGCUUCUUUACGUUAUUUAUUCUAUUUAAUACCUGCCAAGGACUAUGAGAUAGAGAUUAUUAUCCACAUUUUACAGAUGAAACACCUGAGGUUUUGAGAGCUUAAAUUAAUUGCCCAAGGUCACAUAUCAGCUUCUAGUGAGAAGUAGGUUUCCAAAUUCCACAAUGACCUCCCUCCAUUACCUGAUGUUCAUGUAGAUGGAGCUUAGAAUUAAAGCCUUGAAAAUAGAACUGAGUUUUUGCUCCUUGAAAAAAUGCUUCAGACAGCUCCAUGCUUUCUCUCCAAAAUGUUCCCACAUUCUAUGUUCUUUGACUGUUUCUGGCUGCAUCUGGGAAAGGGUCUUAAUAAGGUGUUAAUGGUCUUUAACAGCUUUAUUUAGUGCCCUUAGAUCUCCCUUUUUAUCAAGCAUGCUUGGCUUUGGGUAUACUUUGAAAUCUUAAAGGGAUGGGAAGUCUUCUGUAGGACCUGGUGUCAUUCCUGGAUCCCAUUCCCAUGGCUGGCAUCAUUAAUCAAUCAUGAUGCUCUAUGAACCCUGACUUGCCCUUGUGAUGCUCCGUAACAUGGUCCUCUGGGCAGUAAUUACUAACAGAUUUGAGUUGGCAUUCAAGAUAUCAAAGCCUAUUUUGCAUACUACCUGUGUUGCUAGGCCUAACCUGGGUACAUUUAUAAAUUGAGGGUGAAAUCUUAUCUUUUCACUCCUUAGACCUGGAACCCUGAUAAGAGUUAAUGUCUGGAUCUAGAGGCAAAAGUCGAAAGAAAGAACAGGGAUUGGAAAAUUACAACUGGGUUUAGAGAUCAGCUCUGUAACACUUUCCUCUAUCUCACCCCAACACUCAUUUUCUUCAUCUGUAAAAUGGGGAUAAUCAUAAUAAUAGCUAUCUAAAGGUGUUGAGGUGAAGCUCAUAUUGAAUGAGAUAGCACCCAGAAAACAGAAGCUCAUUAUCGCUAAGAACUUUCACAUGCAUUAUCUUGUUCAACCUUACAAUAAAGUUAUGCAUAGGAAAUUUAAAUCUACAUUAUACAGAUAUACUUAAUUUGUUCAUGUCGCACAGUAAAGCUUAAGUUGAGAACUGAACUCAGGCCUGACUCCAAAGCUCAUAUUGUUAAUGACAAGCUACACUGCCUCUUGUUCCAGGCAUGGAACAAACAGUAUUUGGGAUAGUCCCUCCUUUCUUCCAGGUCUGAGAGGAUGGGCAAGGACUCAGAUCAGGGGCUACCACCACAUUAGGCUGGUGCAGGCACUGAAGAGGUGGAAGUAGUCCAGUGUGGCAAGAAAAUCUGGGAGUGGUGGUAGGUACAGGUACCAGCACACACCUGUGUUAAGGACCUUAUAUCUGGAAAUGGUUCUUUCAGGGUCCUGCUGGUCUAUUUGGUGCCUUUGUAUGAAUUAGAAAAAAAUGCUCCGUUUGGGCAGAUGAAUCGUAUAAGUUUACUCCCUCUGGAAGAACACAGCUCAAAAGAAUCAAGGCUGAGUGUUUGGAUUCAAAAAUUCUUCUGAGCAGAAGAAUUAGUACAGUGUGGACUGGAUCUCAGCAAGCAUUCAGCUCCUCAGCUAAUGUGUCUGUGCUGAACAUAAUUAUACAGCAGUACAAAGUGGUCCUGGGUCUUGAUGGGAUGGAAAGGUGUAGUCUUAAGGAAUCUAGGAACAGAAAAAAGAUAAAUGUCCAGGGAGCAAUUUUGUUAGGGAGUUAACACCAUUGGCCUGAACCAGAAUUGGAUCCAGCUCUAAACAAUUUCAAAGCCAGUGUGACUGAUCAUGAGAAUCACUUGGGGUGUUGGGGGAGUGCGUCCUGGUAAAAAUGCAGAUUAUCUGCUCCUUCUCCUAAACAAUCUAACUCAGUAAGUCUGAGGUGGCCAAUUCGAAUGAUCAGAAAAGUUUAGGAAAUACUGCUCUAUCUCAUGCUUAUCACACUGUGCUGUAACUGUCUCUAUUAGCAACCCUGGUUACCAUCUGGUCGGCUGGACCAUGAAUGUUUCAAGGGCAAGGCCAUGUCUGAUUCAAUUCCACAUCCACAGCACGUAAAGCAACGUCUGGCAGAGCAAAGAACUCACCCAUCAAUUGAAUGACAUCAUGGCCAAUCUACGAGUUCUGGCUUACUUCUCAUGCUAUUAUCACAUCUGCCAAGGAUUCUUCCUGGCUAAAGAAACCCAUAAAAGUGGAAAACUCAAACUCCACAGUGCAAAUAUCUCUUGAGUCUGCCUGCACUACCCUUUCUUGAAUGUGUAUUGAUAAGACUGCAGUUGACAUUUUAAGAAAUUUAAAUUUCAACCUGAAGUCAAUAAGGACACCUCAGAAGUUUUCAAAGGAAGGAUGGAGUCUGUUGAAAAGAACCGGUUGGUAAAAUGAGAAAAAAUGGAUUGAAGGAGACCCAAGUGACCACCUGGUAAUUACUUCAACAGCAGAGCGACUCAUACAGCCGGCAGUCCACUUUGUUCUUCUAUAGAUCCUGCCUGUGGUGUUGGAUCUAACAGCUUCUUCCCUGACCCAAGAUUAUGAAGGAUUUCUCCUGUGUUCUCUUCUAAAAAUUUUACAUUUAGGUCCUGGGCUUUCUCUGCUAGAAGAGGCUGAAUUCCUGGAGUACCUAGAGUACAGAGCUGGUGAAUGACCUCUUAUCUCCCUGCUCUAGCCUGUCCUAUGUAACUUGGUCCCAGCCACCUCUCCUGUGGACUUUUCCUUCUUCUGAGCUUUUCCAGAUGCUGGGCUGAGCACAGAUUCUGGUUUGAUGGCAUCUAGUCUGCAGGAAAACAUAGUUUGGCUUUGACCAGCACCUGAUAGACUCUUCUGCUCUUUUGGACUAGUCUUCUAGACACUAAUGGCAGUGGAAUUUGACCUUCUGGUCUUCCUUUUAUGUUUGCUAAAAUAAAUGAAGCCAGUAAUCCCAACAGAUAACCCAGUAUUCCCACCACAUGGCUCAGGACUGCCCCCAUUCGAGGUCUGUGAUCCUGAGCAUCUUUCACCAACAAAUAUACCACUACUAAUCAUUAAGGUGACGGUUUACUGAAAUCCUGCUGAAUACUAAGCCAGGUGCUGGUUGUUUCACAUAACUUAUCUCCAAUCCUUUCAUCAUUCUGCAAGAUAGUAAUUAGUAUUGCAAUUUAACAUUUAAAUGGAGGCCCAGAGAAGUUAAGUAACUUCUCAAGGUAACACAGCACAACACAUCAUUAGCUUCCUUUCAUACCUUUUCUUUAUUUCUUCCUGAUUCUUUUCUCCAAAUGUAUCUCUAAGGAGCUCUCCUUAGCCCUGUCCUCCUCUCUCUUGAUGAUUUCCCCUGUAUUAUACUUUCUUCUGGCUUCUGCUCUUAUAUCUAUGUGGAUGACUUCUAAAAUGGCAGUUCCAACAGUGGCCCAUCUACGUUGUCCAAGAAAGGCCUUUAGAAGUCCCAUUAAUGUCUUAACAUAUCUUAACCUAUCACUUGUCUUUACCCUUAAACCUGCUCUUUCUCUGUCUUUGAGAACAUGUCCACUCUCUGGCACUCAAGUUCACAGUCUUGGUAUUCUUAUGGGCAGAUUCUCCUUUUCACUCACCUACUCUGACACUCAGUCACUAAGUCUGGCCCUUCUCCUCCAUUCUCUUGAUGGUGAGUCCUAUUCAGUAUCUCAUUAUCUCCCACCUGGCUGAUUGCAAUAGCUUUCUUCAAAUCUCUCUGCUGUUAUUCUCCUUGUCCUCCUCCUUCUUAGACCCUGUGGCAAGAUUUUGUCUUGGAAACACCUCCUUGCCUCAGGAGCCGCUGGUAGACCAGCAGCCUCCAUGAUCCAGCCCAAGCUACUUUCCCAACCUAGUUCCCCAUGAUUCCCCUGCAUGUCCCAUUUGUACCAGCAAACCAAGCAACUCACUUUCCCAGAGUAUGUACUCAAUUCUAUUCCCUGAGUGCGCGCACACACACACACACACACACACACACACACACACACACACAGAGUGCAGUUUUGCUUAUGAUGUCAUGGAAUGUUCACAAAGGAGGUGACAUAGGAGCCAAAUCCUUGGGAAAGGAGCAGUUAGGCAGCUGUCUAAGAAGGGGCAGGGUAUUAAAAGCAGAGAAAAGCACUUGCCAAGACAAUGGUGAAGUAAAAAGAGCACGGCUCAUUCAGGAAACUACCAGGAUUUCAGAAUGUCCAUGUGGCAGAGCAAAGUUUGGGAGUCAAAUAGACCUGGGUUUGGGUCUUAACUCUGUCACCUUUGUGGUCAGCUCUGUGAUCCUGAACAGGUUUCUUAACUUUCUGAAUCUCAGUAUAAUAAAGGUAAAAAUAUCUCAUAGGAAGUUUCUGAGAACUUGUGAAAAACUUUUAUGUAGGAGGUAUGUAGAGGGUCCUCCCUAAAAUUUGGCUAUGAUGUUAGUAUCAUGGUUAUGAUGAUAGAGGAGGAUGGAUCCUGGUGGUAAGAUGGGUGAAAGUGGCAAUGUCAUAUUAGAAGGAUAUGCAGAAGCUAAAUUACAGAGAGUACCAGUAAGUAACUGGGACUCUAUUGUCUAGCAGAUAGCAGCCACAGAGAUUUUAUAAGCAUGGCUGACAUGGUUAUAUCAGUGUUUUAAGAUAAUCAUCCUGAAAACAGUAUGGAGGUGAAGGACUGUUAAGAGGCUGUUUAAACUCUCCUGGAGGCCUGGGCUAAGGCUAUGACAUAUUGAUGGAGACGAAGACACAGGCUGGAGACAUUCCAAGGAAGUCCAUCACCCGGUCUACUGCCUGAUUGCAUGUGUGGUUUAGAAAGACGAUGCCACAGUUCCUAGUUUGGGCAAAUUUGUAGCUGAUGGGCUAUAAACAAAAUGUUGGCUGACAGAGACUUUUCAUGACCCUUGCAGUUAUUUCCUAAGGAUGGAGAUUAUUCCACAGAACCUUAAUUUCUUUAAAAAGUGCUAUCUGAGACAUGGCAGUAGGGUAGAACUUGGCCAAAUGAAAGAAAAACUUUAUUUUCUUUGUUAAUCAGUACUUCACAGCAUGAGAAAGUUCAGCAUAAACCAAUUAUAAUUCAGUAUCACUGAACUGGGUGAAAUGAAAAAAUAAGCAGAGACCAGGUGGUGUCAGCACAAAAUGAAUUCAGAAGAACAAUGUUUAUGUCUGUUUUAAAAAACCAAGAAGAGCCCAAUACUGGAAUCCAGGAUAAAUUAACUCUGUUCCUGUUUCCUCAGUUAAAUUCUGUCAAUCUGAGUUCUAAAAAAAUAGCCUAAAGUAUUUGUCUGUCUGCCUUAUUGGCUCUUCCAAACAUAUUAUUUCAAAGGACAGAUUUUAUUUAAAUAUAGAAAGUCUCAAAAUCAUGGCACGCUAGAAUUAUAUGAGAGAAAAUAAUAAUAGCUCACCUUUGUUUUGCAUGGAGUUUUUCUUAAAGCACUUUUACUUGUCUUAAUCUCAUUAUCAGAAAAGUAGACAAGGCAGAAGGUAUUUUUCUCACUUUGCACACAGUAAAACUGAUGCACACACUUUGGGAGGCUGAGGUAGGUGGAUCACCUAAGGUCAGGAGUUUGAGACCAGCCUGGACAACAUGGCGAA